GAGAAAUAGGCGGGGACUACUAAUCCCCUGAGCUUGCUUAAGUGUAAGGUUUCUUG
rnacentral:tRNA from 1 species